rfam:Anopheles farauti strain FAR1 unplaced genomic scaffold supercont2.2, whole genome shotgun sequence.
CCUUCGAUAGCUCAGUUGGUAGAGCGGUGGACUGUAGAAAAUGUGAAAGGAGAUCAUGUAGACGAAGAAAUGCAAAUCAUGAUCACCAGAAAACAAUAGAAAUCCAUAGGUCACUGGUUCAAAUCCGGUUCGAAGGA